AAAACAUAAAAGAAAUAUAAUUUGUUCUUUUUUCUAUGAAUUAAACUCUCAAUUUAUUUAAAACGUUCAGUAGACAGUGAUUCAAUUGUUGAAACUGUUGCUUUUGAAGUUUUUUUCUACUACUACAUUAAGCUAAAAUACUUGUUAUUAGAAAAUGGUAUUUUAUAUGUUUUUUGUUCAGAUGUAAAGAUCUUAUGAAUAGAGUUGGAAUUAUUGAAAUAGUAUCAAAAGUUAAAAUGAAGAUGUAGUUAAUUACGUGUUGAUGAUGGUUUCAUUGAAAAAUAUUUACUUAGCUUAGAGUUAUGCAAAGCAAUUGAUUUUAUUAUGAAAGAAAAUACUAAAAAUUUUAUGGGUGGCUAACUAUAAUAAUGAACAAACUACAACUUGUUACUGUUUCUUCUUCUACAAGAAAAAAUUAUGAUAAACACAUAUAUUAAGUUAGAUUAAUGUCUAAUAUUUAAUCCUUAGUAUUUAUGUUUAAUCCAUGACUUAAUAGUUUUACCACUGAAUUUUUUUAAUUUAAAAUAUUUAAAUUAAUCUUUUUUAUUAGACAUUUAUUGUAAAAAGAAAGAUGAAAAUUUUUUUGAUUGAAAAUUUGACUCAUAUGAUAAAACUUUAUUAGCUGUAUUAAUAAUACAGCUUUGUCAGCGAACAGAGAGUCAGGUAGUUCGGACCGGUUGACCAACUGCCUAGCAUCACAGAAAGGAUCGGUACUACCUACCAGGCUGAAAGGUAA